AUCAUCCAGUUUCCAGCCUUGGUGGGAACAGCUGUGUGAGUGACAGAGUAUGUUUAGAGCUUGUUAAAUGCAUAAGCAUCCCAUGAAGUCAAACAAAACAUACAGUGCAAUGCAGUGGGAAUUAGGCUGUGUCCAAGAAGCUGGAUCUCAUAGUCCUUGCCUUCUUAACCACAGAUCAGCUGGGCCCUAAAUGUUGUGCUUUGAGCAGCAGCCUCAGUAACUGGGUGGUAGUUCUGUAACUGGGCUGAGUUUGCAAGUAAUGAGGUCAAAGUCUCUGUCUCAUAGGAGGCACAGAUUGUGGAGGACUGAAAAAACGUGUCCCCAGUAUUUCAGGAGCAGAAAUCAGUAUUGCUUUCCUGCUUCCUCUGUCAGGAUCCAGCUGAUUAUCUGUGGCAUGUCCUGCACUGUCUUUUUUUUUUUUUUUUUUUUUAAGGUGAGCAUUGUAGCCUCUGAAACAGGCCCUGGAGUAAAGAAGUGUCCCUGGAGAGCAACCCAGUUUCCUGAUCCAAGGCUGUUUUUUACCAGGUGAAUCCCCUCCUUCACUUUCGGCAGGCUGCCACUCUUCUUGUGCAGCUAUUUGCUUUUAGGUGGCAGGCUUCAAAGCAGCUUAAUGACUGCCAACGGCCACAUUUUAUGCAUUUGUUUUAACUUUCUUGUUUUGGCUGGCAAUUGUUAAAUACUAGGGGCUCUGAAUGUCUACUCAGGUUCACCCCAUUCAGUAAAGACAAAUACAAAACUACAUUUGCAUCAAGGAGUUUAAUCAAGGCUAAAUAAGUAUGCCCUCACUAAUGAGAGGUGAACUGCUGCUGUUGGAGGGCACCUUUCCUCCAAAUUACCUUUGAGCAAGUAGUGAUUUUUUGGGCUGUAUGAUCCGUUUGGAAGGAACCGGUAACUAAGGAUGGACCUCCCUAUGGUGAGGCUCCAGCCUGAAAGCAGGAGGUCUGGUGUUGCCAUUCACAGAUGUAGGUCCCCAUAUUACCCUUUGUGCUCCCUGGGAGUGAGUCUCUCUCCUUAAGUCCAUAUUUAUAAUUCCAGUUGUGACUAGGUGCACAGGAAGACACAGUACACAGGGUGAGAAUGCCCACAGGGUCACAUCCUGUGGAAAUUCAUGCACACACUCAACCAUCUACACUGGGAGACAAACAACUCUCUGGUCCCUUGUCCACGCUCCACAUCAGGGACUUGCCCUUGUUCCCCACAAGGGCCCCUUGGUGGAUGACCUCCCACGCUACGGUCAUAGGGGGGAAUAUAGAGUCUCCAGAAGUCCUCUGGUGUCAAAGUCUGGUGUCAAGCCAGACAGUAGAAACCGGCUGCAGGUGACUGCUGCCACAGCUCUUCCUGCAAGAAGUGAUGUGCUGCUGGGAACACAUGGCAUGAUCGGAGAGUGACUCAGCUCCAGGAAGACACUCUCAGAGGAGGUGACUGGACGCCUUCCUGGAGGAUGUACGUUAGUCAGGGGAAAGCCUUUGGUCUCAAGGCAGGUGAUGCAAUUAUCUACCUUUCGCCAUGCAGGAAAUCAGAUGAUUGAAUGUUUCCUUCUACUUUUACCAUCAAUGAAUCAAUAAAUGAUGCAACUGAAAUAUUCUCGCA
ensembl:lncRNA